rnacentral:lncRNA from 1 species
UUUUGCCUUCCCUACUUUGAAGUGCUAUCCUCUAUCCAAUUAUGGAAACUGGCUGUCAUCAAGUCUUUUUACUUCAACCUUGAAAACAUAACCAAAAUUUCUCCCUUUUGGUACGUUCUUUCCAAAAGCCCAUCUCUUAGCUCAGAUUCUCAUCAUCUCUUGACUGGCCAUCACAAUCUCUGUGCAUUAGGUCUUCCUGGUUUGUGUUUAGCCCUGCACAGUUUGCACUUCAUUUAACUAGUUGAAUGAAGCUUGUGUAUGUAAAGAUUUUAGUUGGACCAAACACACCUAUGUUCUCUUCCUCUAGUAAUCUCAUCAAAAUCGAAGAAUAACAAAAUUGGGGCUGGAUAAGCCAUAGAUGAGGGAGGGACCACCAGCACAUGGGAUAUGUAAGCAAAUGUAAGAAAGUCUGAAAGCACCUAGAGGACAGGUCCUCCAGCAACGAGCCCAGUUGCAGCUGAGGGGAAUGGAUUCAGCUGACCAGAAUGCUCAUUAGCCAGGCAGACCCAUGGAGGCUUUGGGAUUCAGAUUUGUUGGGUAGAACAGAGCACGGGAUAUGAAGGCAAAAAGAGGAAUUGCCAGAUUGCCACACCCUUUCUUCCCCUCCCUUCCCAUAUGCAUCAUAUAAUACCUAAUAUGAAGCAUGUCCAUUUCCAGAAAAAAGUCUCUAUGCUCUAGACCCUUUCCAUGGAGAGAUGAACAACAACCAAAAAUAUGUGUGUGUAUACACAUUAGAUAUAUAUGAUAUAAAAAUAUAUUUGACACAUAGAAGAGAAUAUCUAUAAAAUCUUAAAAUUGAAUAUAUAAAAUUUAUAUUAUUUAUAAUUAUAUUGAUAAUUUGUUUAUAUAUAUAUAAUUUAACUCUGGUUGUUUCUUCAUUUGAAAAGUAAGGUCACCUCUAGCUCUGACAAUCCAUGAUUUUUUCUCCCGUAUGCAAAUUUAUACCUGUCCUCUGAUCAUUAAACCAACCUGCUGAACAGAUAUUUAAAAAAAAAAAAAAAAGAAAGAAAGAAAGAAAGAAAGAAAGAAAAAGACCGCAUUGCCCUCUUAGGCUUGAGCUUCAUCACUGCAGAAUCCUGAAAGAAUUUCUAAUAAAGCAUUUGAAUCUUCUAAUCUGAGGGCGUGGUAAGCCAUAAGAGAAAACAUGCCUGUAGAACAGCCUGGAGUUAUUCUCCUUUCUAUUAACAAUACCAUUUAACAAUUAUUUAUCAAAUGCUCAUGAUAUGCCAGAUGUUUGGCUAAAUAUUUGCACAUAUGAUCACAUUUGAUAUUCAAACAGCUUGUCAAAGUGGACAUUAUCAUUUCCACUAUGCAGAAGGGGACACUAUGGCUCAGCAAAGGUAAGCAACUCCAUGCCAUCACAGAGCUAAUAAACAAGUUGCCUUUGCAACAAAGGCAAUUUCCUAUGUCAAAUCCAUGGGCCUUUAAAACAUGUGCUUUUAGCUAAUUACAUUCUACUGCCUAGUGGUGAAGCUCUACUAUUGGCUUUUUUUAAAAUUUUUAUUUAUUUAUUUAUUUAUUUAUGAUAGUCACACAGAGAGAGGAGAGAGGCUGAGACACAGGCAGAGGGAGAAGC